UAAAACACUAUAUUGCACAAGAACAAUGACAGUCCCACAACAAUGAUUAUUAUUUUUUAUUUUUUUUGGUACAACACAACAAUGAUUAUUAGAGAAUAUGAAAGAUGAAUUUUCUGGAAAUUUCAAAAACCUCAAAUGUUUGAUUUCAUGUUCCCGUGUUAAAUUCAAGUUUAAAGUAUGAACCACCCAUUCAACAUUGCAAUCUAUUUUGAAGUAACCAUAUCUCUUCCCAUAAAAGAGAAAAGAGUAGCAAUAUUAUAAAAAAGAAAUAAAAGAAAGAAAUAUCAGGCUGAAGAAGUAGGGACAUGAAUUGGAUGGAGGAAAGUAGUCAAUGUUCCUCUUUUGUAAGUACCCAAAGGGAGUAGAACAGCAAAGGGGCAAGAGACGAGAGGGAGAAGAAAAGAAAGAGAGGUGCAAUAUAGUGUAUAUGGUGUAUAAUAAGAUAUGUGUACUUGAUU
rnacentral:lncRNA from 1 species